rnacentral:rRNA from 1 species
GAUGAACGCUAGCGGCAGGCUUAAUACAUGCAAGUCGAGGGGGCAGCACAGGUAGCAAUACUGGGUGGCGACCGGCAAACGGGUGCGGAACACGUACGCAACCUUCCCGGAACAGGUGAAUAGCCCUGCGAAAGUAGGAUUAAUACACCGUAAGAUAUGGAUGUGGCAUCACGUUCUUAUUAUAGGUAGCAAUACCGGUUCUGGAUGGGCGUGCGCCUGAUAGGUAGCUGGUGCGGGUAACGGCCCACCAAGCCUCCGAUCAGUAACUGGUGUGAGAGCACGACCAGUCACACGGGCACUGAGACACGGGCCCGACUCCUACGGGAGGCAGCAGUAAGGAAUAUUGGUCAAUGGACGAAAGUCUGAACCAGCCAUGCCGCGUGAAGGAUGACUGCCCUCUGGGUU